UGGGGGAUAUUGCACAAUGGGGGAAACCCUGAUGCAGCGACGCCGCGUGUAGGAAGACGGUCCUCUGGAUUGUAAACUACUGUCUUCGGGGACGAUAAUGACGGUACCCGAGGAGGAAGCUCCGGCUAACUACGUGCCAGCAGCCGCGGUAAUACGUAGGGAGCGAGCGUUGUCCGGAAUUACUGGGUGUAAAGGGUGAGUAGGCGGCAUAGUAAGUCAUAUAUGAAAGCCCGCAGCUUAACUGCGGAGUUGCAUAAGAAACUAUUGAGCUAGAGUGCAGGAGAGGCAAGCGGAAUUCGUGGUGUAGCGGUGAAAUGCUUAGAUAUCACGAAGAACUCCAAUUGCGAAGGCAGCUGACAAAACCAUUAUUGACGCUGAGGCACGAAAGUGUGGGGAUCAAACA
rnacentral:rRNA from 1 species